AAGAAACGGGUGACAGGACUUUUCCAGUUCUAUGAGGCUGGCUGCCCUGUUUGACAACUGAGGCCCGCAUCUUCCCCGGAAUCACCGACGUGUGGCUCUGAGCCCUGUCCCAGGGAUUUUCUCCAUCAGAGAAGAGGAGCACUUUGAGCUUUGAGAGGAGCAGCCCUCUGCAAGUGAAGUGGAAAAAAAGGAAGCAGGCGAGGAGGCCCAUCCAGACCCUCCCCCAAGACCCUUGCUGAAAUGGCUGGGAUGCGGCGUGCAGAAGCUCUCCUUUCCUUCACAGCCCCUGGCUUUCCAAGAGUCCCUGCCCACCCAGAUGCCCGCUGGCAGAUGCAGCCUCAUCUCAAGGACACUGCUUGCUGGAUAAAUCCCUCACCACCCUAGAGACAGCCCACGGUCCUGAGACAAGGAUGCGGGCCAGGCUUGUUGCACGUAAGCGCCUCCCGCAGAAACCAGUGAGGCCGGAGUUCCAGAGGAAAUGAUGUAGGGACAGAGGCAGAGGGCCUCCAGGAGGCACCAGCCCCAGAGUCUUCCCUAGAAUCAGACUUUAAGCACAAGCAGGGAGGGAAAGCACUUGAGCAGUGCCCGUCCCUGCAUACCUGGCCUCUGCUGGAACCCAUGCAGGGACAGGACACUUCUUUAUCAGCAAUCCUGUUCCUCUCCUGGGCAGCUUCAACCUGAACAUCCUCCUUCACCUUGAGCUAAAAUGGGUUUCUUGUCACCCUUGCCCAUCAAACCUGGCCUUGCCCUCAGGAACCACACAGGACAAGCCUAAUACUUCCUUCUUGUGGCAACACUUUAGCAAUUGAGACCUGGCUGUCAGGUCCUCCAAAUAAAC
rnacentral:lncRNA from 10 species